GUCCACGCUGUAAACGAUGAGUGCUAGACGUUGGCGGGCCUAGCUCGUCAGUGUCGCAGCUAACGCGAUAAGCACUCCGCCUGGGGAGUACGGCCGCAAGGUUAAAACUCAAAGGAAUUGACGGGGGCCCGCACAAGCGGUGGAGCAUGUGGUUCAAUUCGAUGCAACGCGAAGAACCUUACCAGCCCUUGACAUGGGACGUUUGGGACCGAGAGAUCGGUCCCUUCAGUUCGGCUGGCGUCCACACAGGUGCUGCAUGGCUGUCGU
rnacentral:rRNA from 1 species